ACGGGAGGCAGCAGUGGGGAAUAUUGGGCAAUGGGCGAAAGCCUAACCCAGCAACGCCGCGUGAAGGAAGAAGGUCUUCGGAUUGUAAACUUCUUUUAUGAGGGACGAAUGACGUGACGGUACCUCAUGAAUAAGCUACGGCUAACUACGUGCCAGCAGCCGCGGUAAUACGUAGGUAGCGAGCGUUAUCCGGAUUUACUGGGUGUAAAGGGCGCGUAGGCGGGGAAGCAAGUCAGGUGUGAAAUCUAUGGGCUUAACCCAUAAACUGCACUUGAAACUGUUUUUCUUGAGUGCUGGAGAGGUAGACGGAAUUCCUAGUGUAGCGGUGAAAUGCGUAGAUAUUAGGAAGAACACCAGUGGCGAAGGCGGUCUACUGGACAGUAACUGACGCUGAGGCGCGAAAGCGUGGGGAGCAAACAGGAUUAGAUACCCUGGUA
rnacentral:rRNA from 1 species